rnacentral:rRNA from 1 species
CUUUUCUGAUGACGACCGGCGCACGGGUGCGUAACGCGUAUACAACCUACCUUUUAGCGGGAAUAGCCCAGGGAAACUUGGAUUAAUGCCUCAUAGUAUAUAAGCUUCUCCUGAAGUUUAUAUUAAACAUUUAUGGCUAUUAGAUGGGUAUGCGUCCUAUUAGUUAGUUGGUAAGGUUAACGGCUUACCAAGGCAGCGAUAGGUAGGGGUCCUGAGAGGGAGAUCCCCACACUGGUACUGAGACACGGACCAGACUCCUACGGGAGGCAGCAGUGAGGAAUAUUGGACAAUGGGCGAGAGCCUGAUCCAGCCAUGCCGCGUGCAGGAAGACUGCCCUAUGGGUUGUAAACUGCUUUUACAGAGGAAGAACCACCCCCACGUGUGGGGGUUUGACGGUACUCUGCGAAUAAGGAUCGGCUAACUCCGUG